UUUGCCCCUUUUUCCCCCUCUUCUCCUCCCUCCUUUUCUCCUCCUCAUCUCCUUUUCUUUUUCCUCCCUUUCUCAUUCUUCUUUUCCCCUUUCCCCUCUUGUCUUCCUUUCCCUUUUUCCCCCUUUACUCUCCUCUUCUUCACCCCCUUCUUCUUUUUGCCCCCAUCCCCACUUCCCCUUUCACCCCCUUUACCCCUUUUCCUCCCCAUCUCCCUUUUUGCCCCGUCCCCCUUUUUUGUUUUGCUUUUCCUCUUUGUCUCCCCCUUCCUUUUCCCCCCCUCGACCCCAUUCCUUGUUCCUUCCCCAUCGUCCCCUUUUCUUCCGAAGCCGAUUCCGUUCUCAGUGCGAUGGUGGCUCCUGCGAGCAGCAGAGCCCCGAGCAGCAGCGCUGCGUCUUGGCUCCCCCAUUGCCCGCUGCUGAGCUCUUCCUGCCCUGGCUCCUCAUUGGCUGAGCGCUGCAGCUUCCCCUUUGUGGCGACGCUUCACCACUCGCACAAACAGCCAGCAGACGCACAUCUUUGCUGCCCAAACACACGCAGGCCUUCAUUGCUUCAUUGCUUUCUCACCACUGCUCUCUUAACCAACGUGCGGUCGGAACUUGCGGCUCUCAGGUUUUCAGCAUCAACACAGACACAGCCUCUGAAUUGCUUCAUUCCCCCCUGCCAUUUGUGCCCUUCCCGCUGCUCGUCGUUCUGCUCAUCCGGUUGUUUUUCCGCAGCGCUGAGCUUGGCAGGAGGACAGAGGGGAGCAGCUGGGAGCCUCACGGCCUCCUCGCGUUCCCACGCAGCGGGACAGCGCUGCUGUAUGCGCUGGCCCUGAUUCCUCCCUCAUUCCCUUCUCCAUUUUUCCUCCCUCGUCGCGAUUUCCUUUUUUUUCCUCCCUCGUCCCCCUGUUCCUUUUGUCCUUCUCGUGCACUUCCUACCAUCCCGCCUUCUUCCUGCCUUCCCUCAUCUCUUCUUGCACUCUUUGAGCCCUUUUUCUCCCCCCAUCCUUAUUUCUCUUCACAUUCCCCUGUUCUUUUUUCCCCUUUCCUCUUCUUCAUCUCCAGCUCCGCUUCCCCCCCACCUCACGUCCCCUUUCUUCUGUCCCUGUACCCCAUUUUUCCUUUUUUUCUUUCCCCACACCCUUUUUCUCUUGUUUUUCUCUGCUGUCCCCUAUUGCCUUUUUCCUCUUGCCCCUCUCUCCUUUCUUCCCCCUCAUGCUGUUACAGAAGAGAGGGAAGGAAUGAUGGACAAGCUGGUGCACGAUGGCAGCAGCAGGGUGGAAGCCCAGGUGGGUGCGAUGAAGCCGGGGGUGGGACUGGGUGGAGCCAGAGCCCAGCCUGAGCUCAUGGAAGGGCUGGGAAUGGCAGGGCUCAGAUGUGUGCCUGGGCUUCUGGUGUCAGUGAAAUUGGGUGAGCAGUGAGGUUUGGGAGGGAUCGACUUGUUGGCCUUGAGAUUGAUGCCCAGCUCCUUGCUCGUCACAUUCUGUUCGGCUCGAGGUUCCGGACACGGCUUGCUCUUCUAAGCAGUGUGAGGACUGCGAGAAAGACUUAGUUGGAUGCAGCAGGAAAGCACAGCUGCUGGUGGAUGCCAGUGUCCGCUCCUGAGGCUCUGCACCAAGCUCUGCCCAGUGCUGAUGGGAUGUCAGUGCCACCUGCUGCUCUCCAUGAACUGCAGGUUCAAUUCCUUUUGGCUUCCACAGCAUUUGCUACUCUUUUGUUCUGUCUCACUUCUCUUUUUUCCAUGUUGCGUGCUGGCGCCUCGCUGGAGUUCCCAGGAUGCCACUGCACACUUUGGACCAAGUGAGAUGCAGAAGAAGAGGUAGGCUCCUGAACAGGCUGCUGCUGAGUGCUGUCCUUGACCUGGGGAUUGGUGACUCGUGCAGCAGAUGCAGCAGGCAUCUUGGGCUGCCCAAGCUUCCGCAGUGAGCGUGUCCUGUUCCUGGUAAAGGUGUGGGCGUUCCUGGAUGUGAAGAUAUCUUCAUGCGUUUCCGAUGUGCCCAGU